AUGGUGCUCGGCGGCUGCGGCAACGGAGCUGAUGGAGCACGAUCCGACCAGUUCAACGGAGGCAGUAGCACGGGGCAGCGGCAGCAGCAUGGAGGGCGUCCGCUUGACUGGGAAGGUGAUGGAACUGCAAAUAGGAGUGGCAGCGGCAACCAUGAUGCAGGUGCAAGUGGUUCCCAAAGCUCUUGGAAAGGAAUUAAAGAUAAUAACUUAUAUGAUCCUUGGAACCAUACAUGGCCGUAUUCUGGGGGUUUUCAUUGUAUGUACUGUGGCCUAAAGCACAAAGGUGGAGGUGCAACCCGUGCCAAGGAGCACCUUGGUUGGAUUGUAGGUAACGUGAGGAGCUGCCCAAAUGUGCCAAGAAAUGUGAGAGAUGCAAUGAGGGAGUGCCGGGAUGAAUCGAAGAGGAAGAAAAGAGAGAAACAAAAUAGCAGGCUGAGAAUUGAAAGAAAUAUUAUGGAAGGGCUGUAUCAACAAGGAGGGAUGAUUAACAUAAUAGAUGAUGAUGAAGAAGAAAUUCAGAUGAAUAUUAGAGAGGCAUUGCGUGACCCGAAUGUCUCCCGCAGAGUUGAUAGGAGGAUUGGCAAGGGGAGUGUGGGUGACGUGCGAGUUGCUGUUGGCAAAAGGAGUAUCACCGCAUAUUUUGACAAGCAAUUAUGCAGCAACAAAGUAUCUAUGCAGCCCAAGAUCAGUAGUGCUUUGGAUCCUAAUUCGAGAGAUGCACUUGGCCUAACUUGGUCCAAGUUUUUUCAUGCCAAUGAUAUUGCUGGACGUAAAGCUGACUGUCCAUACUUCCGAGCUGCUUUGAAGAUCACUCAACAAUUAGGGCCUACUCCUAUACCAACCGCGAAGGAGAUUGAUGGAAAAUAUUUGGAUGCAAACUAUGAUGAAGCAACUUCGUUUCUUCAGAAAUUCAAACAAGAUUGGAAAAACUUCGGUGUGACCCUUAUGUGUGACUCUUGGACUGGUCCAACAGGAAUGAGUCUCAUAAACUUCAUGGUGUAUUGCAAUACACGAAUGUUCUUCCUCAAUACUAUUGAUGCAUCCGGUCAGACUCAGAAUUCAGACUUUAUCUAUAGAGAGAUUGAGAAGGUUGUAGAAGAGAUAGGCCAUGAACAUAUAGUUCAAAUAGUAACAGAUAAUGGGUCCAAUUAUAAGAAAGCUUGCAAAACCCUUAUAGAAGAACCAAAGUACUCUCAUAUUGUUUGGCAACCGUGUGCUGCUCACACCGUCAAUCUUAUGUUAAAAGAUAUAGCCAAAUUUCCUGAGGUUGAUGUGAUAGUCAAGAGUGCCAAGACAAUCUGUAGGUUCUUGCAUAAGCACAAUAAUCUACAUGAUAACAUGAAGAAGAACAUAGGUGGUGAACUAAUUAGACCAAAUGCCACCCGGUUUGGGACUGUCUUCAUGUUCCUUGAGAGUUACCAUUUGAAGAAAGAUAAAUUUAGGGAGUGGAUGGUUUCUCAGGAUUGGAAAGAGUGUCAGUGGAGAUAUGAGCCUGGAUACGUGUUUUCUGAAGAAUGUUUGUCUAGUAAUGUUUGGUGGAAUGCACUAGAGUGGGUACUAGGUUCGUUAAGGCCAUGA
rnacentral:rRNA from 1 species